UACGUAGGUGGCAAGCGUUGUCCGGAUUUACUGGGCGUAAAGGGCGUGCAGGCGGUUUGUUAAGUUCAGGGUGAAAGCUCCCGGCUCAACUGGGAGAGGUCCUUGGAUACUGGCAGACUUGAGGAGGGUAGAGGAGAGUGGAAUUCCCGGUGUAGUGGUGAUAUGCGUAGAUAUCAGGAGGAACACCGGUGGCGAAGGCGGGAUCCUGGGCCAGUACUGACGCUGAGGAGCGAAAGCGUGGGGAGCAAACAGG
rnacentral:rRNA from 1 species